ACCUGGCGGCAGGCUUAACACAUGCAAGUCGAGCGCACCUUCGGGUGAGCGGCGGACGGGUUAGUAACGCGUGGGAACAUACCCUUUGGUACGGAAUAGCCUCUGGAAACGGAGAGUAAUACCGUAUGAGCCCUUCGGGGGAAAGAUUUAUCGCCAAAGGAUUGGCCCGCGUUAGAUUAGGUAGUUGGUGGGGUAAUGGCCUACCAAGCCUACGAUCUAUAGCUGGUUUUAGAGGAUGAUCAGCAACACUGGGACUGAGACACGGCCCAGACUCCUACGGGAGGCAGCAGUGGGGAAUCUUGGACAAUGGGGGCAACCCUGAUCCAGCCAUGCCGCGUGAGUGAUGAAGGCCUUAGGGUCGUAAAGCUCUUUCGCCUGUGAAGAUAAUGACGGUAGCAGGUAAAGAAACCCCGGCUAACUCCGUGCCAGCAGCCGCGGUAAUACGGAGGGGGUUAGCGUUGUUCGGAAUUACUGGGCGUAAAGCGCACGUAGGCGGACUGGAAAGUUGGGGGUGAAAUCCCAGGGCUCAACCCUGGAACUGCCUCCAAAACUAUCAGUCUAGAGUUCGAGAGAGGUGAGUGGNANUCCGAGUGUAAGUGAAAUUCGUAAUAUUCGGAGGAACACAGUGGCGAAGGCG
rnacentral:rRNA from 1 species